UUCUACAGCCAUGCCACCCUGAACAUGCCUGAUCCCAUCUUAUCUCGGAAGCCAAGCAAGAUUGGGCCUGGUUAGUACUUGGAUGGGAGACCAUCUAGGAAGACCAGGUGCUGUAGGUG
rnacentral:rRNA from 1 species